GACGUCGCGAAAAGUUCAUUGAACCUUAUCAUUUAGAGG
rnacentral:rRNA from 1 species